GAGGUUGGCAACGACCACCCCAAGCCGGAAAGUUGGUCAAACUCGGUCAUUUAGAGGAAGUAAAAGUCGUAACAAGGUCUCCGUAGGUGAACCUGCGGAGGGAUCAUUA
rnacentral:rRNA from 1 species